rnacentral:rRNA from 1 species
GUAGGUGGCAAGCGUUGUCCGGGAAUUAUUGGGGCGUAAAGCGCGCGCAGGCGGUUCUUUAAGUCUGAUGUGAAAGCCCACGGGCUCAACCGUGGAGGGUCAUUGGAAACUGGAGGACUUGAGUACAGAAGAGGAAAGCGGAAUUCCACGUGUAGCGGUGAAAUGCGUAGAGAUGUGGAGGAACACCAGUGGCGAAGGCGGCUUUCUGGUCUGUAACUGACGCUGAGGCGCGAAAGCGUGGGGAGCAAACAGGAUUAGAUACCCUGGUAGUCCACGCCGUAAACGAUGAGUGCUAAGUGUUAGGGGGUUUCCGCCCCUUAGUGCUGCAGCUAACGCAUUAAGCACUCCGCCUGGGGAGUACGGCCGCAAAGGCUGA